AGUCAACUAACCCCUAGAUACCUGUCGCUAAGCCAGACAACAAACAAUGAUGAAAAAACAUCCUUCUUUAUUUUGCUGGAAAGGGGACUUAUUUCAGAUCCUGAGCCUCACCUGAUAGGCAUCUUCAAACGUGGAGUAACAGAUGCGAACAUCCACAUCAAGAGCUGCCAGACAUACAGCUGUGAUGAUUUCCUUCCAGAGGUCUUGCUUUUUGCCACAGAAAAGCCAUAGAGAGCUGUUUUUCCCUCACCCUUCAUUGACUGCUCUUCAAUGUGGAGUAUUCCUCUUGUCUCUUCUGUGUCACUGGUAUCUUGCCACCAACCCUGCAGUUUUGAGAUCCUGAGAGUUGGCCUGGCCCUGGACAACAAAACUACAGUAGUGUGGCUAAAGAUAAACCCCAGACCCUGUUUCAGAGUGACUGUAGAAUCAACCUUUGCAGAUAUGACAACCAGUUUGGCCAGCAAAGUAAAGGAAACAAUCAACAUGUCCAGCUACACCAGUUAUGAGAUCCAGGUAAAGAAAGCACAAAGCCUGAAAAGAGAUGUAAAGAAAGACCUUAAAUUAAAUAAUCCAAAUGUACUGCACCAUAACUUGAUCUCAAAAUGUUAGUAAUAGUGAGUAAUGCAACCAAAUUCAUUAGAUGCUGUUUUGCUAUAAUAGAUACAUUUUUGCUAAGCUUCUUAGAUAAGUAUGUACAAACAAAGGAGCCUUGUCAGUGAAGACCCUAAACUAAGAUAAAGAGAAAACUGGAUGUUGGCAGGCGGCAAUCUCGAUGACCUAAAUCCCAACUAAUUGACACCUUCCAAGUCCACAAAAGAUCUGGUUUGGUCCAGUUCCAAAAGUUUUAUGAAACAAAGAAAUUUAAAUUAAGCCAGUCAACGAACAUUAUUAGAAUACGUCAUCUAUAAACAGAGGUUAUAGGCUGGAAGGAAUUUCAGAGAACUCGGCAAGUUCAAGAAGACUUGCUGCCAGUCUGUGUGUCACUCUCCUUCCACUUCUUGAGUCUCCCCAGCUGGUAUUGGUAAAAAUCUAUGUUGUGAUGUCAGAUGGAUAGGUUGCCAGAUAGAUAUUGGGAUAGGUGUUUGUUCUUGUGUUUUGGGGUGCAAUCAAUUAAAAAUUGGGAUAUGGACCUGUCUCUUGCUUCUUUUAUCAAUAGCCAACCCGUAAGAUUGCUGUAAUCCAGAUAACAUACCUCAGGCUCUACUUCCAGAGCCAUGGGCACUAGUAUAGCUCUAAGGAGCUAUUCAAGUCUCAGAUCAUCAGGACCGGCAUCCAAAAAUUAAUAGAGGACGUCCCCUUUUGAAGGCUCAAGUCUCGUUAGUGGUGAAAUAAAUGACAUUCCGAAAAGAAUCAAGAUCAAGUAUUACAAUUCCAUCCUGGGAGUUUCUCCUCAGGCUUUAUCCAUUUCAAAAAGGAGCCUUUUUUAAUCUUCCAUUUGGUAUUGCAGACAGCAGCAGGGGAUACAUUAUCAGAAGAGACACCAGCCUUCUGCUUCUGUCAAAUCCACUCCUGCUAAAAGACAGCAGUACAAUAAUAGAAUCCCUCAUGAUGUAUUAUCUCAGCCACAGGCUGUGAAAUUGCCUCUUUGGGAUGCCAGAGAGCCCCAUACCUAUGACAGUCUCUCCAGAAGUUCUUCAGCACCCUUGCUGAGGGAAAUUCAGAGACAUAUCUGCUCUAGGUUGAGAUGUUCCUUGUCAGGAUUUUUCUGAGCAGGUUGCUGGACUACUUGGACAUCCAAACUAUCAUUAUCUUGGAACUUGGGAGAAGAAGGUGGGCCAUAAAGGCCAUCUGUCUACUCCAGUGAUUCUUGACCAGGACACUGUGGCACCCUUUUAAGGUGCCACAGGAAGCCAUCAAUGUUAGCACUGUUGGAUGUGCAACCCAGAGGUUUUAAAUAAGAAUUCACAGUGUAAAAAACAUUCAGACUUAUUGUGGUCUUUGCAACAGAAGAAUUGCUCUAUUAUUUUUCUGUAGUCAAGAAAUGAAUGAGAGGUAAGAGCUGGCAUUUCUCCAAGAGGUGUCUUGAGUCUAACAACGUUGAGAACCACUGUAUUGAGUCAUAAAAUACAGCCCUGAAAUUAAUUGGGUCUUAAAGGUGUUUUCAAUUUUUUUAAAUCAUUUUGGAUUGCACUAAAUGUCUUGCUUAAGAGUUUGUUUUUAAACUCCUAAAUUAAAAAACAGAAAUUAAAGGAAAAUUCAGAACGAAAAACUGUUUCAAAUAAAUCAUAAAGGUGAAACAUAUAGUUUGGAAUUAUGAAAUGUCCACCUUUUAUUUUGACUGUAGAUUUUUUCUCUCUCCAUCAAUAUUUUAUAUACCUCUGCUGAGAGUAUUUCAGCAAGCUGGGAAAUCUUACUUUACAUAUUUUCUGGCUGCCUUAAAGUCAUGUUAUGCAUCUUGAUUGUAUCCAAAAGCUUCUCUCUCCCAUUGAGAUGCUUUGGGGAGAAAAUGAAUCUAAAAUAACUAUAAAAUAAAAUAAAUUUACUCAAAGUUUGAAAUUGCAGUAUUUUUUUUAAGAUUUGACCAACAGUAUAAUUGGUCAAAAGUUUAGGGAAACCUACAUUGUUUUAUUUUUGGCACUGGUCAACAGAUGUAGGUCAGGGUCACAAAAUAUUUUUAGACUUUGAAUUAAGGGUCUCAUAUUGCUGACAUUUUGAAAUGUCAAAAAUAAAAACAGGGAUUCUUAAAAUUAACUAUUUCAAACCCUCUUAUGCAUCACAUUCUUAACCCAGCAGCCUUAGAAGUAGAAUGUUUUCCCCUCCUAUCUUUCAUGCUCAUUUCUGUGUUUAUCUUUUUCUCCCUCUCUUGGGGGAUGGAGAAGUAGAGAGAGGGUUGUGUUGUGUUGUGUUGUGUUGUGUUGUGUUGUGUUGUGUUGGAAAAGGUGAUGUUGCUGAAGGAAAAGGAGAUAUAAAAAUUAACUACGGCCAGUUCUCCUCAACUGCAGUAACUAGCCCAUCACUACAUCCAAUAUUUAAAACAUGACUUAUUCAGUGAAGGCCAGAUGCAAAGCCUGUUUAAGUCAAUGGACUUCAUCUGAGCCUUCUAUUACUACUUAAAAUAAUUACUUACUAAGGUCAGUGGUAAAGUUGCUGCCCAAACAACAGGAAGCCAGGCAACCCCUGCCUUAUCCUGUGCUGAACCAUCAGCUGUCAUCAUAGUUUCAUAGAUAUUAGGGGCUGGAAGGGACCUUAAAGAUCAUCAGGUCCAGCCUCCCUGCACAUGGGCAGGAAAGACAUUGAGGUCAGAUGACCCCAGCAAGAUGGGCAUCAAGAUGCUUUUUGAAGAUCACCAGAUUGGGUGACUGUACCACCUCUGAUUGUACCACCUCUGAUUGAGCAAAACCUUGGCACUCAACUUAUAAGGAAAAACUUCUUUACGUCUAGCCUGAAGUGAUCUUCAAUCAGUUUGUGCUCAUUAUUUCUUGUCCUCCCCUGGGGGGCUUUGGCAAACAGAUGCUCCCCCAGGCCAUGAUGUACACCUCUGAUAUACUUAUAGGCUGCCAUUAAGUCCCCUCUAAGUCUUCUGUUCUCCAGGCUGAACAAUCCUAACUCUUUCAGCCACUUCUCGUAUCUCUUCUUCUUCUGGUCUCUAGGCCUCUCCAACCUCCAUAUAUGAUCUUCAAAUUACCAUUGCUGUGAGUUUUUCUUAGUGUUGUAAAUAAUUUAGUUAUAACUUCUUAUGCUCUAUAUUGCUUACAUGUUGAUAAUAUAUCAAUAUGUGUAUUAUUCAUUUUGGUCACCUUGUUAUAUCAGUGGUUCAUUUACUGAAAGGCACAAACAAGGCUAUAAAUUGGAGCUGCCACAGAAGAUAUUCAAGAAUCAUAGGUAGACCAAGAACAUAAGAACUGCCAUUUACUGGGUCAGCCAAUAGGCCCUCUUGCCUAGUAUCCAGUGUCACACGGGCAGAGAGCAGAUGCUGAAAGGGAGAGUGAGCUGGGUGUGACCAGAGCUUUUUCCAUUGUUCCUCUCUCACUUGCAGCCUCCAGGUUUCACAAUCUAGGAAGUUCUGAGAAUAGAUCCUAGAAAAACAAAAUGAAUAAUACAGAGUUGUUUGAUGAGUUCAAAACUUAGUUCUAAAUGUUUCAUGCUGAUAUAAAUAGUGUAGCUGUUUAUUAGGUUAAUUCUUUGAUAAAGCAUUCUUAUUUGUACUAAUCCCAUCUCUUCAAACAGAAAUAAUGACUUUUAAUUUUUUUCUUUGAUAAAACUUCAAAGUAGGAGGAGGCUUUAGCUCCCAAGGAUUAAAGUCAGACUGCAAGAAGAGAGGUUAAUUAUUGUUUCCAAUUAAAAUGUGGGUCUGGGCUAUGAUAAAUAUUUCAAUGACUUGAUUAUCAGAUGGAAAUAUUUAGAUGACACACUAGUGAGAUCAAAUGACAUUUGUUUUCAAUGUGAAUUCUGAAAUAGCGCUAUUAUACCAGCUGAACUGCACUGUUCUUCCACAAAGGCUGUAGGACAUAUAGUCAGAGUAGCAAGGAAGAAAAUCCUAGGGGAUCAUGUAAAGAAAUAGAGGCAGGAUAAAAUCAAAGCCCAAAGAGGAAAUGCCUGUCAUAAGUAGCAUGUGUGCAGUAACCCAAGCAGCUUGUUAAAUUCAGAUCCUUUUGGUGUUUCAAAUGUGCAGUGUAUGAAUUUAACAUAGUUUUGACAAUUUUCAGAAUUAUUUAACACAUAUUCAGCAGUUCUGUAGCAAUGUAUUAGAGGCAUCCGACCUCAUGUUUGUAGCUUUGCAGACAAACUUUUCCAUAUUCUUACUGCCCAACCAAAGAGAAAAUAUUGCAAUUUUUGCGGUAAGGUACACAUGGGGAGAUAUUGGGGGGCAGAAAGGAUAUUGCCAGAAUGACUUUAAAGCAUCUUUGCGUUUCCCCUAUCUUUGCCAAGCUGCAAACUGCCUAGGUAGCACUAACUCAUACCAAGCAAUGACUCCAAUGGGCUGAUAUGAUGGCAUGGGUUUAGAGGUGUUAGGAAGCCUGGCCAUGCUCCCCUUUCCUAGGCUACAUUCCAUAAACCAGAAGCCAGCCAAGACUAUGGUAUAUGAGCCUUUUUGUUGGCUCCACCCCAUCCCAGUGGAGCCUAGAUCAGCAAUAAUUCCACUAAUUUUAAGACAGUUUUGCUUAGAGGAAAGCAGUUCUACCACAGCCCAGUAUUGAGCUGAGUAGUUCAUGGUAUUUUUUUACUCAAGCCACUAUGUAAGCAGGAAUAACCCAGCUUGUAAAGCAACUUUAUGAACAAAAGGAGCCAAAAAGCACAAGUGAGUCAAUGCAUCAUCCAAUGGGAGUUACAGACUUCUGUUAGAAUCAAUGAUUUCAAUGAUCUCUGCAUUCCUCAUGUAUGCUUUGGUGCCAUAUCCCUUAGAAUGAGGAAUCAAAGAAUUGCCUACAUUCAAAAGUCAACAUUUAGAGUCUUAGUGUUGGGGAACGACCCAGGGGGUCAUCUUAGUCCAGCCCCUGCAUAAAGGCAGGGUGUGCCACUCCUACACUGUCACAGAAAAAUGCUUAUCUAGCCUCUUCUUGAAAAGCUCCUGUGAAAGAUAUCCUACAACUUUCCUGAGCACCUUGUUGGCCCUUCAGUUCUGUUACAAAGUUUUGGCAUAUUUUUUUUCCUGAGAUUUAAUCAAAAUCUGCCAUGCUGCAGUUGCAACCCACUGCUUUGUUUCCUGCCCCUUACAGUAUGAUGGAGCAAUGGUUCUCCCUCCUUUAUGUCAGCCUUUCAGAUGCAUGAAAUUUCUAUCAUGUCUUCCAGGCCUCUUUCCUCAAAACUAAAUUGUUUUGGUUUUCUCCAGUAACUUCUCCAGUAUUGAAAAUCAGUGUCCUUUCCCCCUGUUUUAAAGAUGGGCACUGUACUAGCCCUUUUUGAGUCCUCCAAUCACACCUGUCAUCCAUGGGUUUGUAAAUGUUAUUUCUAGUUGCUCAAUCAGCACCCUGAGAUUAAUUUCAUUUGGUCCUACUGACGUAAAUUUAUUCCAAUUUGUGAUCUGCAUCCCUUCCCCCAUGUGUCUAUAUGAAUUUGCAUAGCCCCUUAGGGCUAUCCAAAAUGGCAGGGGCAUAAGUUUUUGUUUUGCUUUUUUGGUGAAGAUAGAGACAAAGGAGUCAUUGAAUAGCUCUGCCUUCCUUAUGUCUUCCAUAAGUAGCUCAUGCGUGCUACUAUGCAGUUGUACCCAUGCUUUCCCUGUUCUUUCUUUUCUGUCUGACCUCUUCGCAUAGAUUUGAAAAGUGAUGAUAAAAAUGAUCUAAUUUUUUUGCCUUUGCGUUUCUGAUACUAUUCCUGCAAGCUGUUGCUAUUCCUUGGUAUAUGUCUUUAGAGAUUUGCCCUUCUUUCCAUUGCCUUCAUGUUUCUUUUUUAAUUUUGAUAUACCUAAGGAAUUCCUAAUGUUGCUUCCUCAGGUCUCUUGCGAUUAUUCUGAUCUUUCCACUCUGUUACAAAAUUGAGAAUUGCGUUAUGCUGUCAAACUUCCUCCCAACUUUCAUAUUGUCUUCAUGUCUACAACCACUCGUUCUUGGUUAGAGCACAAUAUCUGCAAUUGUCUGGAGGAGAAGGCUGUCUGUCUUCUAUACAUGUUAAGAACUUACAAAACACUUUUUUCUGUAUUUUUCUUUCCUCAGAUAUCAAGGACGUUAAAAUUAUGCUAGUAUUAUUAAAGUGCAUCUCCUCUUUCUCUUCUCCUUUCCCACUCCCUUCUAAUGCAGGUGUAUUUACAGAGAUAUGAAAGCACUUAUAUAGUGUCCUUCACUUACUAAAAUCACACUGGGCAGAGAGCAUUUUUGAUUGUAAUAAUUGGCAAUUCUAAUAAACAGCAGCAAAGUAAAGUGAGCAAAAUCAUUUUACUGUUCACUGCUUCAUUUUACCUUUUCUAUCAUCAUAUAUCAUGUUCUAUUUUAAUUUUAUGUAAACCGGUAAAAUGGAUAAUUUUUUUUGUAUGUUUUUAGUAAAACUUAUGAUUUAUAUAUGAAAAUAAAAUAACAGCAUUUAUAAUUUUUAUUCAUUUUGUUAUACUGUUUUGGUGAAAGCUGUAAAUAAACUACUACUACUCUACA